rnacentral:misc_RNA from 1 species
UUAUUUGAUUGAUUCAAAUUUUCUCAGACUGCAUAAAUUAAAACGAAUUUAAGGUGUACUAUCGGGGCAGAGAAGCCCCGAAGCAACAAAAUUUUGGUAUAAGUUCACACGGGAUGGAGGGUCGAGACCAUGAAGAUCUCUAUCUCUGAUAAUGAUCCUUCCGCAGGUUCACCUACGGAAA